UACGUAGGGGGCAAGCGUUGUCCGGAAUCAUUGGGCGUAAAGAGCGUGUAGGCGGCUCGAUAAGUCCGCUGUGAAAGUCCAGGGCUCAACCCUGGAAGGCCGGUGGAAACUGUCGGGCUAGAGUCCGGAAGAGGCGAGUGGAAUUCCCGGUGUAGCGGUGAAAUGCGCAGAUAUCGGGAGGAACACCAAUGGCGAAGGCAGCUCGCUGGGACGGUACUGACGCUGAGGAGCGAAAGCGUGGGGAGCAAACAGG
rnacentral:rRNA from 1 species